CAACAUAACUUUUCCUUAACUUGCCGUCAAUUAGAGUUGCAAAGAAUGAAAGGACACAGAGAAUGGGCAGAAGAAACGAAACAGAAGCCGUAUAAAAGGGGUCAAGACGUCAAAUGCUGACAGCUGACAAAGAAAAGAAAAAUUAUAACUCAUACGAAGUGUGUGCCACAGUAUAGCUUUUGUAUGCGGCUAAAGUUGGGGCAGGUAAAAAGGGGAAAAAAAGUCAAGAACGUGGAAAUAAAAUUGUGUCACAGCAUUUAAAAUUACUAAAGAACGAGCAAGAAAUGUUUCAACCUCCUGAAUUGUUAUCAAUAAGCUAAAUGCUCGGAGUGCUAAGUACUCAGCUACAACGCUCACUCGAACAACGUUGCACAUAGUUUAAAAUAUUAUUUUCUAUGUGGCACAGGUCUGACUAGCAGAAGCGUGUCAAGUGAGUGUGGCAACUGACGCGCCGUUCCACACAUAAAAAAUGCCGUAGUCUAGCGACUGCAGAAGUGUACAACAUCAAAUUCAAAACGUCGGCCAAAUGGAAUCGAGUGGGCGACAUCAUUCGCGCCCAGUCAAAGCAAACGUAACGCAUUCGCCGCGUAAGCCCCAGCAGAGAGUCCUCCACUGGGAGAGCCGCUGACGACGGUAAAGUGUGAAACCAUUUGCGACGCACAGGGAUGGGAAGCCUGGUGCUGCGGCUCAAGUGACUCGACUCGGCCAGAAACGGAUUAGCAGCGGGACUUGAGUGACUUUUCCAAAGCAGCAACAAAAAAUCCGCCAAACAAAAAGAAAAAAAUAUUCUGCAGGCAAAUGAAACAAGCGAUCUAUUGAUUUUUCUUUUGCAGUUCGCUCAAAUCAACUUCCUGCCUGCCGUCGUGACGUCAAUGGAAGACCUGCCACAAAGCUUAGGGUUGGGGCAUAGGAGGAAGGCAGUAACCACCUGACAAUUGAUACGAGCGGCGUUAGUUCAGAGUUUUUGGGCAGCAAAAUAAGUAGGGAUUUUACAAAUUAUUGUUGGACUUGAUUUAGAUUUUAGUCAAUUUAUAACAAAGUUAAAUGAACUCAAAUUAAAAGUGAAUACAAUUGA